UGGGGGAUAUUGCACAAUGGGCGAAAGCCUGAUGCAGCGACGCCGCGUGAGGGAAGACGGUCUUCGGAUUGUAAACCUCUGUCUUUGGGGAAGAAUAGAGACGGUACCCAAAGAGGAAGCUCCGGCUAACUACGUGCCAGCAGCCGCGGUAAUACGUAGGGAGCGAGCGUUGUCCGGAAUUACUGGGUGUAAAGGGAGCGUAGGCGGGCUUGUAAGUUGAAUGUCUAAUCCACCGGCUCAACCGGUGAUCGCGUUCAAAACUGCAGGUCUUGAGUGAAGUAGAGGCAGGCGGAAUUCCUAGUG
rnacentral:rRNA from 1 species